AGAUUAAGUUAUUAAGGGCGCACGGUGGAUGCCUUGGCACUAGAAGCCGAUGAAGGACGUUACUAACGACGAUAUGCUUUGGGAGCUGUAAGUAAGCUUUGAUCCAGAGAUUUCCGAAUGGGGAAACCCAGCAUGAGUUAUGUCAUGUUAUCGAUAUGUGAAUACAUAGCAUAUCAGAAGGCACACCCGGAGAACUGAAACAUCUUAGUACCCGGAGGAAGAGAAAGAAAAUUCGAUUCCCUUAGUAGCGGCGAGCGAAACGGGAAGAGCCCAAACCAACAAGCUUGCUUGUUGGGUUGUAGGACACUAUACGGAGUUACAAAGGACGACAUUAGACGAAUCAUCUGGAAAGAUGAAUCAAAGAAGGUAAUAAUCCUGUAGUCGAAAAUGUUGUCUCUCUUGAGUGGAUCCUGAGUACGACGGAGCACGUGAAAUUCCGUCGGAAUCUGGGAGGACCAUCCUAAGGCUAAAUACUCUCUAGUGACCGAUAGUGAACCAGUACCGUGAGGGAAAGGUGAAAAGCACCCCGGAAGGAGAGUGAAAUAGAACCUGAAACCGUGUGCUUACAAGUAGUCAGAGCCCGUUAAUGGGUGAUGGCGUGCCUUUUGUAGAAUGAACCGGCGAGUUACGAUUUGAUGCAAGGUUAAGCAGUAAAUGUGGAGCCGUAGCGAAAGCGAGUCUGAAUAGGGCGUUUAGUAUUUGGUCGUAGACCCGAAACCAGGUGAUCUACCCUUGGUCAGGUUGAAGUUCAGGUAACACUGAAUGGACCGAACCGACUUACGUUGAAAAGUGAGCGGAUGAACUGAGGGUAGCGGAGAAAUUCCAAUCGAACCUGGAGAUAGCUGGUUCUCUCCGAAAUAGCUUUAGGGCUAGCCUCAAGUGAUGAUUAUUGGAGGUAGAGCACUGUUUGGACGAGGGCCCCUCUCGGGUUACCGAAUUCAGACAAACUCCGAAUGCCAAUUAAUUUAACUUGGGAGUCAGAACAUGGGGAUAAGGUCCGUGUUCGAAAGGGAAACAGCCAGACCACCAGCUAAGGUCCCAAAAUAUAUGUUAAGUGGAAAAGGAUGUGGCGUUGCCCAGACAACUAGGAUGUUGGCUUAGAAGCAGCCAUCAUUUAAAGAGUGCGUAAUAGCUCACUAGUCGAGUGACACUGCGCCGAAAAUGUACCGGGGCUAAACAUAUUACCGAAGCUGUGGAUUGUCCUUUGGACAAUGGUAGGAGAGCGUUCUAAGGGCGUUGAAGCAUGAUCGUAAGGACAUGUGGAGCGCUUAGAAGUGAGAAUGCCGGUGUGAG
rnacentral:rRNA from 1 species